CCAAAAUUUCUUCAGUUAAUUUUUGAACGUGCUCAUUUUUUGGACAAAGAAUUGCAUGUUUAGAUAUAUUUUUAAUAUUAUCUAUAGAUAUACUAUUUCCAAAGGUAGCUUCAAUAAUAGAUCCAUUACAAAUCAUUUCACAGGGGAUUUCAGUAAUAUCCAUUCCUAAAUGAAAAUUGCUAUCAAGUUUGCCAUCUCCAAGUUUUACUAACCAUUCAUCAUAAGCAUAAUCCUCUGAUCUCAUAUUUGUUGUAAGAGACAACUUUCUGAAACAUCCCCAAACAAAUUGAAAUCAUGAGAGAAAAGGAAUCUAAUUGGCCCAUUCUGGGAUACAUCUCAUCUACUGACCAGAGGAAAGCACGGCAUAUUCUCUGCAAUACAUAAAUGGAGCUGUAUUUAUCAAAAUUAGAGGAUAUUCAUGCUGGAAAGGGAGAAGUAACAGUUGACAGGACCCUGAAGAUUUUCCUUUGGUCAAUCAGUCAUCCUUCAUCGGUCCAUAUGAUUCCAGUAGGGUUGACUUCACCCCCGAUGUCCCCUCCAUUUACUCCUCAUUUUUGCUGUGAGGGAUUGUAGUUCUGUAAAAGAUCCCAGAUGAGAGCUCUGAGGAGUUGACUUUAGUGUCCAGCACCAGGUAGGGAAAGCUUUGCAUCUUUGGAGCACAAAUAGGACAGAAACAGCGAAAGAUCACAUACAAUGGAGCCAGGGAAAAGCAGGACCUGGACAUGGAGUAAGCUAGUUUCAGGUGCUGAACAGAGGGCUGCAUUUAGGAGGCUGACUGCUUCCCAUAAACCCCAACAAAAGAAGAGGUGAAGCCACCUGGGUCUCUGGGAAGUCAUUCAUUGGAGAGAAAAUUUUAGCAUCUCUUCCAGCAGAUGAGCAGUACUUAGAGUCAAAGACCAGUCUUGGAGCAAAGUGAGGUUCAGGAAGGGGGAGAUCAGUGAUAACGUUUGAGUAAAAAUGAAGAGUUUAAUUUCAGUUCAACAGCCGAGAUUCUGGUGGGAACUAGAGACAUAAACGUACAGUACUAUUAAGCAAAUGGAAUGACAUGGAUGAACACAUUGGGUGGUGUUGUGCUGGCGAGACUGUUCAGGGACAAUUUCCUGGUGGAAAUAAGAUCUGAGCCAUCUUAAAAGAAAUAUAAGAGUUAUGGGAGAGAAGUUCAUUGCAAGCCUGAGGUACAACAUGAGCAAGGAGCAAAGGUAGCAGAGUGACAAUAAGUGUGCACGUUUGUGAGAAUCACCAGGUGUGUCUGUCAAAUCAGAAGCUGUUCAGUGCAGUGGAGCCUAAGCCCAAGGAAAGGAGAAGAUAGUAAGUGAGCUGGAGAAGGAAGCAGCGCCCAGAUCAUGAAAGGCCUUUGGUAUCUUGAGACAGAAUUUGGUCAUUUUCCUGUAGAUCAGAGCUCACAAGUUGGUAAACCAUGAGCUAGGUUUGACCCUCAGAUAUUUUAUUUAUCUUAUACAAUAUUAUUUUAAAAAUUGAAAUAUCAUUUAACAAUCAGGAGGUUUCACAUAUAAAAAAAAUCUAGAUUUCUGAUCUUUCUAGAAAAAAAUGAGAUCUGACAAUGCUGAGCCUGCACGCUGAUAUGGUGAAAAUUACCCAGAAAUAAAUACUAGCUGUCUGAUUGGGGCAUGUGCAUUUCCAGUUCCCCUCAGCCCCCUGUACUCUCCCCUGCUUCCUCAACCAGCACCCAGCUUCUCUCUUUUUAUCUGCAUGACCCUUGUAGUAAAGAAAGAUUUAGAUAUGAGCAUACACAGUGUGAGUUGCCCCCCAAAUACUCUGUAUUCAUGAGUAGGUCAUUUACUACCGCUGGUCUUUAGUUUCCUCAUCUCUUAAAUCCAG